GUGGGGAAUAUUGGGCAAUGGGCGAAAGCCUGACCCAGCAACGCCGCGUGAAGGAAGAAGGUUUUCGGAUUGUAAACUUCUGUCCUCAGGGAAGAAGGAAGUGACGGUACCUGAGGAGGAAGCCCCGGCUAACUACGUGCCAGCAGCCGCGGUAAUACGUAGGGGGCGAGCGUUGUCCGGAAUGACUGGGCGUAAAGGGCGCGUAGACGGCUGUCUAAGUCUGGAGUGAAAGUCCUGCUUUCAAGGUGGGAAUUGCUUUGGAGACUGGAUGGCUUGAGUGCGGAAGAGGUAAGUGGAAUUCCCAGUGUAGCGGUGAAAUGCGUAGAGAUUGGGAGGAACACCAGUGGCGAAGGCGACUUACUGGGCCGUAACUGACGUUGAUGCGCGAAAGCGUGGGGAGCGAACAGGAUUAGAAACCCUUGUAGUCC
rnacentral:rRNA from 1 species